UCAUUUAUUCUUCAACAUUCAUGAAUUUCAUGAGUUAAUCAGCUCAGUUUUCACAGCAUGCAAAUUGGAGGAACCCCCCUUGGUCCAAUCUGCUGCCGCCAUUAUGAGGAGCUUCUGCUAUACCCAUCGAGACGAACUUAGUGCCGGGUUUAUUGUGGCUGGCUGGGAUCGCAAGAAGGGCCCUCAGGUGUUCCAGGUGUGAUUGUGGAGCAGGAGUUUACUAUUGGUGGGUCUGGUGGCACCUAUAUCUAUGGAUAUGCAGAUGCCAAAUUCAAGCCUGGAAUGACCAGAGGAGAGUGUCUCACUUUCACAACUAAUGCCCUCUCAUUAGCUAUGGACAGGGACAAUGUGAGUGGCGGCGUUGUGCAUCUUGUCACUGUGACGGACCUGUUGUUCUACC